rnacentral:rRNA from 1 species
GAUUCCCGUGCAGCAGUCGCGAAACCUUCGCAAUGCGCGAAAGCGCGACGAGGCUACUCUGAGUGCCACCCGCUGAGGGUGGCUUUUCUCGGGUGUAAAAAGCCCGAGGAAUAAGGGGAGGGCAAGUCUGGUGUCAGCCGCCGCGGUAAUACCAGCUCCUCGAGUG